GUAGCAGAGCUUGUGUGUUUCGUUGGCGUUUACUGGAUUACCGGACGUCUGUUGAACGAGAUCCGAAGUUGAUUGGUUCCCUACUGCGUUGGAGUGGAGGCCGGUGAGAUCCCCGUCUUCUACGUUCGUGGGUUGCCAGGAAAGAGCUGACCUGAGUCGUCCGUUUGCCUGAGAGAAGCCUGAAUGAAUAUUGACUGAGAGCUAGAUUCGUCUGCUCUCGGUUCAAUGGUGAGUGUGCCUUGUCCACUAAUAAACUGAGGAAUUACGGUUAGCACCAUACAAAGUAGAGCUUCACGGACUAUCACAAGUAGCUAUUUUCUUUGGGUUGAUUUACUUUUGGUUGAUAUUAUUAUCUUUUCGUGUGUUGGUUAUUUACUUUCUGUUUGCUGUGAGUGUGUAUUGCUACUUGUGGAGAUACUGGCGAUUUCUCUCUCUCUCUGUGUGCGUGCGAGUGUGCGUGAUUGACAGACCAACGUGAGCAGCUGUGGUGCGGUGGUGGAUGCUGACGGACCUUGCUUGCGGAUUUUGGAUACGGCGGACUCUUGGACAUUGUAGACUGUGGUUCCUUCGGCAGUGGCCUACGGCCUGAUUCAUAUGGACUUGUGUUGUGUUUAUAUUUUAGUGCUUGUAAUAAAUUGUAUAUUUUUGUAUCAGAAACGAAGUCUGGAUGAAUCUGUAGUGCUGCUCCCACCAAACAAAGAACCUAAACACUAAAACUUUAAACUAGAGGCCCAUCUCUAUAAACUGGGUGGCGUAGUCGGUCUACACUGCCGUCCUCCCGUCACAUUUGGCAGUAGUUGGCAGGAUUUGGUUUGGAGCUUCACUUACAGUUCAUCCAGACAGUGUUUAGUUUAAAAUUGUAAAAAUGAUGCCUGUUUAUGUGGGUCCUUGGAUUCCUACAUUUAAAGGAAUUGUUGGGGAUACAAAAUUCAAUGACUGGAAAGAGCAGAUCCAGUUUAUUGCAAUCACGGGAGUUUAUUGAAGCACAAAAAGUCAGCAUAACACUGAGGGGCUUUAGCUAAUGAAGCCAAACGAAGACCUGGAACUGGCCCGGAGGUAUGUGGAGAUUGGACAUUUUCCUACCGGAGCUGCAUGGCGUGGUGUCCCGCCUAAGGUCAAACGGCUACUACAGCAGCGGGCCAAGCUGGUGCUGAGAGAUGGGGUCCUAUGCCGUCGUAUCAUUGACAUAACACCCACGAGGUAUUCUUCCAGAUUGUUUGCCCUACUCAACAAUGUAAAGAAGUCUGGGAGAGGCAUCAUGAUGCUGUUGGGCAUUUGGGAGUGGAGAGGACUCUUAACUGCUUGCGCCGCCAUUUCUUUUGGCCUGGCAUGGACGCACAAGUCCGCCAGUACCAUGCCACUUGUUCGCGUUGUCAGAUGCAGAAGGUAGAUACAGCCCCUAAGGCCCCAUUGAAGCCCUUUAUAGUGUCGUUCCCUCUAGAGGUUAUUGAGUUGGACUUUUUGACACUAGGGAGGCCCCAUGACUUGUAUCAAAAUAUUUUGGUGAUGACAGAUAUGUUUACCUGCUAUGCUUGGGCAAUCCCCACUAGAGACCAGACUGCAAGGACUACAGCUAGGGCCUUAUGGCAGCAUGUGAUGCAGACUUUUGGGUGCCCCAUGCGCUUCCAUUCGGAUCAAGGCCCAAACUUUGAGUCUCACUUAAUGGCCAAAUUAUGUAGCUUGUACAGUGCUGCCAAGAGUAGGACUACACCUUACUAUCCCCAGGGCAA
ensembl:lncRNA